UACGUAGGGUGCGAGCGUUAAUCGGAAUUACUGGGCGUAAAGCGUGCGUAGGCGGUUCGUUAUGUCUGCUGUGAAAGCCCCGGGCUUAACCUGGGAAUGGCAGUGGAAACUGGCGGGCUUGAGUGUGGCAGAGGGGGGGUGGAAUUCCGCGUGUAGCAGUGAAAUGCGUAGAGAUGCGGAGGAACACCGAUGGCGAAGGCAGCCCCCUGGGCUGACACUGACGCUGAGGCACGAAAGCGUGGGGGAGCAAACAGG
rnacentral:rRNA from 1 species